CAACAAAGUUAGAUGCACUCUCUUUAUUGGGAGGGUGUUGGUGACUGGAAACUAGGAGGGUCAAAAUGGAGACCAAAAGACCAAGAGUUUAUACCAUGGAUGACCUGAAAGGUUGCAAGAGCAUGGAUGCAUACAAUCAGUUUGUGUGUGGCUGGGUUCGUGAUGUGGGAGCUGUUGUCAGAAAUGGAUACCACCUCGUCAGUGCAAAGCACUGCUGUUUUGGGUUGAAGCCAACAUCAGGAUACAGGACUCAAAGACCGUCACACAAGAGAAAGCAUACUAAGCUGCCAACACCUUUAAAAGAUGUGGAGUAUCGUCCAAUUGGUGAAUUUCACUUGACUUCAGCAAAGACAAAAAGACACCAACUGCAUACUGCCCUUGAAGCUGGUGCCAAUGUGGAUGUCAGUCACUAUUUUCAGACUCAGAUCAAUCAUUUCCAGGUUCUAGGCAACAAUAGCAUCCUAUGUCUCUCCAAUCCGUAGUCCUCCUCAAAAGUAGUCAAUACAAAAAAAUCCAAGAAAAAAAAAUCGCUACCUACCAACCCUAGUAUUUUUAGUCUAUGUUAUCGGAAACAAUAUUAUUUUUUUUUGGCCUUAUAACAAUGUUUUGACCAUAAAUGUGUUGUAGCCAAUGUUAUGGAAGUGCAAAAACAAACAAACCAAUUGUACUUCAAAAUUUUAUUGUCUCAUUCUCCAUGUAACAUGGCAGGCUAUUCU